AACGCACAUUGCGCCCCUUGGUAUUCCAUGGGGCAUGCCUGUUCGAGCGUCAUUUGUACCUUCAAGCUUUGCUUGGUGUUGGGUGUUUGUCCUCCCCUCCGCGUUUGGACUCGCCUUAAAAGAAUUGGCAGCCAGUGUUUUGGUUUUGAAGCGCAGCACAAGUCGCGAUUCAAGCCGGCAGCACCAGCUUCCACAAGUCUAUUUUAUCACUUUUGACCUCGGAUCAGGUAGGGAUACCCGCUGAACUUAA
rnacentral:misc_RNA from 2 species